AAGGAAAUCUGUUCAAUAUUCAUGGUGCUGUUUCUACUAACCCUGAUGCUGAGAAUACCAAGCAGCAUGGAAAGCUGUUUUUUCCUUGCAAAGAAGUUGAAGACAACUUUGCCAAGAACUCUCUUUCAGAUGUGGUGCAAGGUUCACACAUCAGGCCAAAGUUUUACCACCUCAUGAUUCUGGAAUCUGGCACACAGGAUGUCCCUAAGUUGGAUGGCUUUGCCUGCAGCUUUCUUCUUGCAUCACCAGAUGCGCUCAAUUACUCUGAUCUUUAUGGAGCUGUGCUUUCACUGCUGUGGAUUGGAGCUCAAUGUGAUGCAGUAGAACGGCCUUCCGAUAGCCCUAAGCUCUCAUACCUGG